rnacentral:rRNA from 1 species
UACGUAGGGGGCGAGCGUUGUCCGGAUUCAUUGGGCGUAAAGCGCGCGUAGGCGGCCCCGCAAGUCGGCCGUGAAAUCUCCCAGCUCAACUGGGAGGGGUCGGGCGAGACUGCGGGGCUCGAGGUGGGCAGAGGGCGGUGGAAUUCCGGGUGUAGUGGUGGAAUGCGUAGAGAUCCGGAGGAACACCAGUGGCGAAGGCGGCCGCCUGGGCCUGGCCUGACGCUGAGGCGCGAAAGCGUGGGGAGCGAUC